rnacentral:rRNA from 1 species
GAGUAACGCGUAUGCAACCUACCUAUCAGAGGGGAACUAACCCGGCGAAAGUCGGACUAAUACCGCAUAAAGCAGGGGCACCGCAUGGUGAUAUUUGUUAAAGAAAUUCGCUGAUAGAUGGGCAUGCGUUCCAUUAGGUAGUUGGUGAGGUAACGGCUCACCAAGCCGACGAUGGAUAGGGGAACUGAGAGGUUCGGUCCCCCACACUGGUACUGAGACACGGACCAGACUCCUACGGGAGGCAGCAGUGAGGAAUAUUGGUCAAGUGGGCGGGAGCCUGAACCAGCCAAGUCGCGUGAAGGAAGAAGGAUCUAUGGUUACGUAAACUUCUUUUGCGAGGGGAAUAAAGUGCAGGACGUGUCCUGUUUUGUAUGUACCCUGAGAAUAAGGAUCGGCUAACUCCGUGCCAGCCGCCGC